UACGUAGGGGGCAAGCGUUGUCCGGAUUUAUUGGGCGUAAAGAGCGUGUAGGCGGCUAGGUAGGUCCGUUGUGAAAACUCGAGGCUCAACCUCGAGACGCCGAUGGAAACCAUCUGGCUAGAGUCCGGAAGAGGAGAGUGGAAUUCCUGGUGUAGCGGUGAAAUGCGCAGAUAUCGUAAGGAAGACCAGUGGCGAAGGCGGGUCUCUGGACAGUUCCUGACGCUGAGGCGCGACAGCGUGGGGAGCAAACGAGGA
rnacentral:rRNA from 1 species